GUCGAACGAAGUAGCAAUACUUAGUGGCAGACGGGUGAGUAACAUGUGGGUAUCUACCCUUUGGCCUGGAAUAACACGAGGAAACUUGUGCUAAUACCGGAUAAGUCUUUACGGAGAAAGCUUUAUGCACCAUUGGAUGAGCCCGCACUUGAUUAGUUUGUUGGUAGGGUAAUGGCCUACCAAGACUAUGAUCAAUAGCUGAUUUGAGAGGAUGAUCAGCCACAUUGGGACUGAGACACGGCCCAAACUCCUACGGGAGGCAGCAGUGGGGAAUCUUGCACAAUGGAGGAAACUCUGAUGCAGCGAUGCCGCGUGAGUGAAGAAGGCCUUUGGGUUGUAAAGCUCUUUCGUCGGGGAAGAAAAUGACUGUACCCGAAUAAGAAGGUCCGGCUAACUUCGUGCCAGCAGCCGCGGUAAUACGAAGGGACCUAGCGUAGUUCGGAAUUACUGGGCUUAAAGAGUUCGUAGGUGGUUGAAAAAGUUGGUGGUGAAAUCCCAGAGCUUAACUCUGGAACUGCCAUCAAAACUUUUCAGCUAGAGUAUGAUAGAGGAAAGCAGAAUUUCUAGUGUAGAGGUGAAAUUCGUAGAUAUUAGAAAGAAUACCAAUUGCGAAGGCAGCUUUCUGGAUCAUUACUGACACUGAGGAACGAAAGCAUGGGUAGCGAAGAGGAUUAGAUACCCUCGUAGUCCAUGCCGUAAACGAUGUGUGUUAGACGUUGGAAAUUUAUUUUCAGUGUCGCAGGGAAACCGAUAAACACACCGCCUGGGGAGUACGACCGCAAGGUUAAAACUCAAAUGAAUUGACGGGGACCCGC
rnacentral:rRNA from 1 species